rnacentral:rRNA from 1 species
GUGUCAGCCGCCGCGGUAAUACGUAGGGGGCGAGCGUUGUCCGGAUUUACUGGGUGUAAAGGGCGUGUAGGCGGGGCGUCAAGUCAGGUGUGAAAUUCCGAGGCUUAACUUCGGGUGUGCAUCUGAAACUGAUGUUCUUGAGUGUCGGAGAGGAAAGUGGAAUUCCCGGUGUAGCGGUGAAAUGCGUAGAGAUUGGGAGGAACACCAGUGGCGAAGGCGGCUUUCUGGACGAUAACUGACGCUGAGGCGCGAAAGCGUGGGUAGCAAACAGGAUUAGAUACCCUGGUAGUCCACGCCGUAAACGAUGGAUACUAGGUGUAGGAGGUAUCGACCCCUUCUGUGCCGGAGUUAACACAAUAAGUAUCCCACCUGGGGAGUACGGCCGCAAGGCUGAAACUCAAAGGAAUUGGCGG